rnacentral:rRNA from 1 species
CAGCAGCCGCGGGAAUACGUAGGGUGCGAGCGUUAAUCGGAAUUACUGGGCGUAAAGCGUGCGCAGGCGGUUGUGUAAGACAGGUGUGAAAUCCCCGGGCUUAACCUGGGAACUGCGCUUGUGACUGCACAGCUAGAGUAUGGCAGAGGGGGGUGGAAUUCCACGUGUAGCAGUGAAAUGCGUAGAGAUGUGGAGGAACACCGAUGGCGAAGGCAGCCCCCUGGGCCAAUACUGACGCUCAUGCACGAAAGCGUGGAGAGCAAACAGGAUUAGAUACCCCCGUAGUCCCUGUCUCUUAUAC